GAAAAGUGGUAUAUGAAUGUGUUAUUUGUGGCAAUUUCCCUUCGUUUUUUGUCUUAAUAAUGUUUUUCAGUGACGAACAAAGGGUAUGAUUGGUUUUUUUGAAUUAAUGAUUCUUCAAACGAGAACUUAAAUAAUACUGAUGUCUUUUAAGCUUCCCAAAACAAUGCAUCAGCGUUAAACAAGGUGAGAACACAGGCUAAAAGCGGCUAUGAGAACAGACAGACUAUAGCCGUAGGGAAAUUACACGUCAGGAAUAAAUACCCUCGAAGAUCAACCAUGAACAAAAGUUUUGCGGGAUAUACAGUUGAUGAGAUCAGAAUUCUAAGACAUUUUUACACAUAAUAAUCAACUUGACCUACUGAUUUCAUUACCUGUAUAUCCUUCAAAACUAACAUUUAUGCGGAUUUGUUUAAACUGAUGAGAACAUUCGAAUUCACAAAGUAUGGAUUCCUUUGGUUUGCAUUUUUAUAGAGAAAUACAAAUUAGUAAUAAUGUAAUGUAAAUAUGUACACAAACAAUUGCAAAAAAAAAAAACAAUAAGUUUUGAUAAAUCCUCCAAAAACAAAU